AUCUAAAGACAUCCAGACUGGAAACCAGAUGGCUUGGAUUGUUUUCUGGAAGGAAGAGAACUUGUAGAGAAGAGAAAUUUCCUGCACAUGCAUAAAAGAAGCUCUCUGCACAGGGGCGGCUCUACAGUUCUGUCUUUACCAAUGAUCUUCUCCAACCCCAGAAAGUAUGGCUGUAGCCAUUGGUCCCAUUCUAUCAACUUGAGCAGUGGCCAACUCUCUUGGAACCUACAGUUGGGCUUCAGGCGCAUACUCCUGCUCCUUGGCUCUGGAGGUCAGAUUGUCAUCCAAAACUCUUUGACCUUCCCCACUGCCUGGCUCAUGCUCUGAGGUAUGUGAAAAUCUACAUGUUAUAGGAAGCCUUGCUUUUAAGACUUCUUUUCUUUCCUUAGCUCAUCCAUUCAUCUCAGUGUUUUACUCGUAAGUGGAUUAGCUCUGUCUCUUAGGAUGCAGUUGAGGCUGCCUAUACUUAUCCUUGAAACCAUUCUCUAGCCUUUUCAAUCCCCGUCGACCCCCAGUUUUCUGGUUAGUCUGGCUCCUUUAUUUAUAAACCUAGAUGACCAAUAUUAUUCUGAUGUAUUGACGCCCACCCACUCUAGCUUUUUUUUGUAGGGCAUGCUACAGAGCUAUGCUAUCCAGUAUCGUAGCCUUUAGCUCCAUGUGGCUAUUGAGAACUUGAAUUGUGGCUAGUCUGAAUUGAGAUGAGGUUUAAGUGUAAAAUACACAGUGGAUUUAUCAAAAAGUGUAAAAUAUCUCAGUACUUUUCCAUGUAGAUUAUAUGCUGAAAUGAUAAUAUUUUGGAUAUAUUGAGUACUGUAGACCAAAGGCUUGUGUCCCCUCAAAGUUCAUAUAUUGCAACCUAACCCCUAAUGUGAUGAUAUUUGGAGAUGAGGCCUUUGGGAGGUGAUUAGAUCAUGAAAGUACAGCCCUCAUGAAUGAGAUUAGUGCCCUUAUGAAAGAGGCCUCAGAGAGCUCCCUCAUGCCUUCAUGUGAAGAUACAGCAAAAAGACGGCUGUCUAUCAAGGAGGAAAUGAACCCUCACCAGGCACCAAAUCUGCCAUCAGCUUGAUCUUGGAUUUCUCAGUCUCCAAAACUGUGAGAAAUAAAUUUCUGUUGUUUAUAAGCCA
rnacentral:lncRNA from 1 species